rnacentral:rRNA from 1 species
AGCAGCCGCGGUAAUUCCAGCUCCAAUAGCGUAUAUUAAAGUUGCUGCAGUUAAAAAGCUCGUAGUUGAAUUUCGGGACCAAUAUGUCGGUCGUGCUUCUGUACGUACUGGCAUUAUUGGUUUCUCUCUUCUGAAGAACCUUGAUGUCAUUAAUUUGGUGUCUUGGGGAAUCAGGACUGUUACUUUGAAAAAAUUAGAGUGUUUAAAGCAGGCUCGCGCUUGAAUACAUUAGCAUGGAAUAAUGAAAUAGGACGUUUGAUUCUAUUUUGUUGGUUUCUAGGAUCGACGUAAUGAUUAAUAGGGAUAGUUGGGGGCAUUAGUAUUCAAUUGUCAGAGGUGAAAUUCUUGGAUUUAUUGAAGACUAACUACUGCGAAAGCAUUUGCCAAGGAUGUUUUCAUUAAUCAAGAACGAAAGUUAGGGGAUCGAAGACGAUCAGAUACCGUCGUAGUCUCAACCAUAAACUAUGCCGACUAGGGAUCGGAUGAUGUUAAUUUUUAAUGACUCAUUC